CAUAAAUAUAGAGUAAUGGAAACAGGGGUGCCAAAUAACAUACCCCCCAAUGCUGCUCAUGGGCUAUCUGGUGUCAUUUUCAAAGCAUGUGUGUAUGGGAACAAACAUUUUUCCUCUGAGGAAAUGAAGAGGCAUCACUGGAAAGAGGAGUGGUCCUGAUGCCAUAACCCAGCUAAGUCCUGAGAGACAUCAGUCCAACCCAGGACAGAACACCCCAGACUGGGUUCCAGGACCAAGCUGUGCCAGAUGUGGUAUUCUAGCAAAUGACUCUCGCUAGUCGGACUUAACCACUGGUCCUCUGAAGUGCUGCGAAUCAUCAGGGUUUGCAGAGGCCUCCCGGACUCCAGAUGUCACAGUAGCACCCCGCUCCACGUGAGCUCCCAUUGGUCAUUCGAAACACUGAGUUCUAGUGCAUGCCUGUGCACAGCCAACGUUUGCUUAGAGGGAAAAGACUAUGCAUACAUAAUCAGAAAAAUCCUGGCUAAUAACUAAACCAGGGGUCGUCGUGCUUCAAGAUAGCUUGAACUCUCCCGAAACCCAUCGGCUGUCUCCAGCAGUUCUCGUUCCUCUUAAUUUGAGAUCUUGACGAAGAAAGCUUGAAGCAUCCAUCCUUCCUGCUGGGCCACAAGGAUUAAGUGAUUGCUACAGUUGGCUCCCCUGGCCACCCCUCCCCUGCAAAGUGCCAGCUGAGGUUGAAGGAGAUUCAUCGCUUGCCACUUCCUCAGCUUACAGCAGACCAAAUUCAGGCCCUUUUCUGCCUAAUGAGGCCCGCAGAGCCACCAGCUGUCGCUGCUUAUCCUCAAAUCCACCAAAGGAGCAGCAGACAUUUAUUCUCUGCAUUUGACCAGUUGUGGAUUUCUGUAACAGUUUCCUUCUGCUACAAGAAAAGUUUUCCUUAAUGAGUGAGUUCCCUGAGCCCUGUUGAGAUGGACUUAAUGGAGUCAUCCCAUUAGGACUGAACAUCCCAAGAUCUUUCACUCUCUGCACAUUGUCCGGUGGAGAAUCUCUAUGUUUGUCUUCAUCUUCUGCAGAAGGAAGCUACUCUGAUGAAGGCUGGGCACUGCACUGAUCUAUGAGCACCGCCUAAUGUUGUUAAAAGUCAUUGGAUGGAUACAGCUAUGUUCCUUUAGCAGAACAGAAACAUUCGGUUUUACCCUCAGUCCCUGGCCUAUCUGGUCUCAGGUUCUUGGCCACCUAGGUAGUGUCAGGAAUGGGUUCCAUCUCAUGGACUGGGCCUUAAAUCCAAUCAGAUAUUGGUUGGUUACUCCCACAAGCUUUGCACCAUUACUACAAUAGCACAUCUUCCAGCAAUGCAGAAACCAGCGUGGCUCAGACGUAUGCGUUUCGAUGACCUUAACCUCAGAUGAGAUAGCAGAGCCCUCAGUGCCGGUGUGGAGAGUUCAGAGUGGAGACUCCAUCUGAGCUGGGUGCGCAGAGAUGUAAGAGAAUAAGCUUACGUUUUACAGUACCUCGGGUUGCGAUUUGACGUGCAGCUACAAUAAAUGAAUAUAAUUUUAAACAUCACAUAUAUGGAAUGACACAGUGUGUAGUAGACUACAUAUAUCUUCUGUUAAUCCAAAAAUUCAAAAUUAAGAGAAUUAUCCAAGGCACGGGGGUGUGUUUUCCUGUCAUUACAGACCUGAGGUAAGCAGGACAGACACAAAGGUUCCAGGUGAGUUCGAAUUCCAAGUUUCCUUGAUUAAUCGGUGGUCACUUUUCACCUAUUUGGUUAUCAAGGUCACCCCUAAAAGCCCUUUUCAUUUCAGCAUACACACACACACACACACACACACACACACACACACACACACACACACACAUGGGGGUGGGGAGGCAAUGAGA